rnacentral:rRNA from 1 species
GACGAACGCUGGCGGCGUGCUUAACACAUGCAAGUCGAACGAAGUGGCGAACGGGUGAGUAACGCGUAAUCAACCUGCCCUUCAGAGGGGGACAACAGUUGGAAACGACUGCUAAUACCGCAUACUGAAGGAGGGGAUUGCGUCUGAUUCGCUAGUUGGAGGGGUAACGGCCCACCAAGGCGAUGAUCAGUAGCCGGUCUGAGAGGGUGAACGGCCACAUUGGGACUGGGACAACGCCCAGACUCCUACGGGAGGCAGCAAGGGGGAAUCUUCCGCAAUUGACGGAAGUCUGACGGAGCAACGCCGCGUGAGUGAUGACGGCCUUCGGGGUGUAAAGCUCUGUUAAGCGGGACGCGGUACCGGAAUAGAAAGCCACGGCUAACUACGUGCCAGCAGCCGCGGUAAUUC